UACGUAGGAAGCAAACGUUGUCCGGAUUUACUGGGUGUAAAGGGUGCUCAGGCGGUCUUGAAAGUCAAUGGUGAAAUCCCGGAGCUCAACUCCGGAACUGCCUUUGAUACUACAAGGCUUGAGUAUGGAAGAGGUGGAUGGAAUUUCUGGUGUAGCAGUGAAAUGCGUAGAUAUCAGAAAGAACACCAGUGGCGAAGGCGGUCUACUGGUCCAUUACUGACGCUAAAGCACGAAAGCAUGGGGAGCAAACAGG
rnacentral:rRNA from 1 species